rnacentral:rRNA from 1 species
CCUACGGGAGGCAGCAGUAGGGAAUCUUCCACAAUGGACGAAAGUCUGAUGGAGCAACGCCGCGUGAGUGAUGAAGGUUUUCGGAUCGUAAAACUCUGUUGUAAGGGAAGAACAGGUAUGAGAGGUAAUGCUCAUGCUAUGACGGUACCUUACGAGAAAGCCACGGCUAACUACGUGCCAGCAGCCGCGGUAAUACGUAGGUGGCAAGCGUUGUCCGGAAUUAUUGGGCGUAAAGCGCGCGCAGGCGGCCUUUUAAGUCUGAUGUGAAAGCCCCCGGCUCAACCGGGGAGGGUCAUUGGAAACUGGAAGGCUUGAGUACAGAAGAGAAGAGUGGAAUUCCAUGUGUAGCGGUGAAAUGCGUAGAGAUGUGGAGGAACACCAGUGGCGAAGGCGACUCUUUGGUCUGUAACUGACGCUGAGGCGCGAAAGCGUGGGGAGCAAACAGGAUUAGAUACCCUGGUAGUCCACGCCGUAAACGAUGAGUGCUAGGUGUUGGGGGGUUUCCGCCCCUCAGUGCUGAAGCUAACGCAUUANGCACUCCGCCUGGGGAGUACGGCCGCAAGGCUGAAACUCAAAUGAAUUGACGGGG